AAACAUCUUUGGGCACCAGUUUCCCGUUUGGCAAGAGCUGGGACUAUCCCAGUGCCUACAUAUUGCAAAAGUUCAUGUCUGUGUAACCUGAGCAAUGGUACAAGGGCCAUUCGCCUGUCCAACAAUUAACAGCAACAAUAGGUUUAAAGCACAGGAUUAACCUGCCCCCAGCAAUGUCAGCUCCACCAUGUUCUUUGUUAGCAGUCUCUUCAACUGUUGAUG